UACGGGGGGAGCAAGCGUUGUUCGGAAUCACUGGGCGUAAAGGGCGUGUAGGCGGUCAAGUAAGUGGAAUGUGAAAGCCCCCGGCUUACCCGGGGAUCUGCAUCCCAAACUGCUUGGCUUGAGUACGGGAGAGGAUAGGGGAAUUCCUGGUGUAGCGGUGAAAUGCGUAGAUAUCAGGAGGAACACCGGUGGCGAAGGCGCCUAUCUGGCCCGAUACUGACGCUGAGGCGCGAAAGCUAGGGGAGCAAACGGG
rnacentral:rRNA from 1 species